CCAAGGCUAAAUACUCCUGACUGACCGAUAGUGAACCAGUACCGUGAGGGAAAGGCGAAAAGAACCCCGGCGAGGGGAGUGAAAAAGAACCUGAAACCGUGUACGUACAAGCAGUGGGAGCACGCUUAGGCGUGUGACUGCGUACCUUUUGUAUAAUGGGUCAGCGACUUAUAUUCUGUAGCAAGGUUAACCGAAUAGGGGAGCCGAAGGGAAACCGAGUCUUAACUGGGCGUUAAGUUGCAGGGUAUAGACCCGAAACCCGGUGAUCUAGCCAUGGGCAGGUUGAAGGUUGGGUAACACUAACUGGAGGACCGAACCGACUAAUGUUGAAAAAUUAGCGGAUGACUUGUGGCUGGGGGUGAAAGGCCAAUCAAACCGGGAGAUAGCUGGUUCUCCCCGAAAGCUAUUUAGGUAGCGCCUCGUGAAUUCAUCUCCGGGGGUAGAGCACUGUUUCGGCAAGGGGGUCAUCCCGACUUACCAACCCGAUGCAAACUGCGAAUACCGGAGAAUGUUAUCACGGGAGACACACGGCGGGUGCUAACGUCCGUCGUGAAGAGGGAAACAACCCAGACCGCCAGCUAAGGUCCCAAAGUCAUGGUUAAGUGGGAAACGAUGUGGGAAGGCCCAGACAGCCAGGAUGUUGGCUUAGAAGCAGCCAUCAUUUAAAGAAAGCGUAAUAGCUCACUGGUCGAGUCGGCCUGCGCGGAAGAUGUAACGGGGCUAAACCAUGCACCGAAGCUGCGGCAGCGACGCUGAUGCGUUGUUGGGUAGGGGAGCGUUCUGUAAGCCUGCGAAGGUGUGCUGUGAGGCAUGCUGGAGGUAUCAGAAGUGCGAAUGCUGACAUAAGUAACGAUAAAGCGGGUGAAAAGCCCGCUCGCCGGAAGACCAAGGGUUCCUGUCCAACGUUAAUCGGGGCAGGGUGAGUCGACCCCUAAGGCGAGGCCGAAAGGCGUAGUCGAUGGGAAACAGGUUAAUAUUCCUGUACUUGGUGUUACUGCGAAGGGGGGACGGAGAAGGCUAUGUUGGCCGGGCGACGGUUGUCCCGGUUUAAGCGUGUAGGCUGGUUUUCCAGGCAAAUCCGGAAAAU
rnacentral:rRNA from 1 species